rnacentral:rRNA from 1 species
CACGUAGGUGGGUCGCUUAGUCGGGGGUGAAAUCCUGGAGCUCAACUCCAGAACUGCCUUCGAUACUGGCGAUCUUCGAGUCCGGGAGAGGUGGGUGGAACUGCGAGUGUAGAGGUGAAAUUCGUAGAUAUUCGCAAGAACACCAGUGGCGAAGGCGGCUCACUGGCCCGGUACUGACACUGAGGUGCGAAAGCGUGGGAGCAAACA